rnacentral:rRNA from 1 species
CCUACGGGUGGCAGCAGUGAGGAAUAUUGGUCAAUGGCCGGAAUGCUGAACCAGCCAAGCCGCGUGAGGGACGACGGCUCUACGGAUUGUAAACUUCUUUUGUCACGGAGUAAAAUGCGCCACGAGUGGCGUUUUGCGAGUACCGUACGAAAAAGCAUCGGCUAACUCCGUGCCAGCAGCCGCGGUAAUACGGAGGAUGCGAGCGUUAUCCGGAUUCAUUGGGUUUAAAGGGUGCGGAGGUGGUUUUAUAAGUUAGCGGUGAAAUACCGGGGCUCAACACCGGGGGUGCCGUGAAUACUGGAGGACUUGAGAGCGCAAGCAGUAGGCGGAAUGCGUAGUGUAGCGGUGAAAUGCAUAGAUAUUACACAGAACACCGAUUGCGAAGGCAGCUUGCUGGCGCGGAUCUGACACUGAUGCACGAAAGCGUGGGUAUCGAACAGGAUUAGAUACCCGAGUAGUC